AAAUAUGGAGGAUGAGGGGAAGAUAUCAAGAAUAACGGCUAGGUUUUUAGAACAGGUUUUGUAGCUUGGGGGAGAAGAAACAAUUGUACAUAUUGGUCUGAGGGACCUGUGGAAGAUUCAGGUUAUGUCUAGUGGGUAGUUAGAUACAGCAGAGAAAUAGGAGCCAUCUGGCCCCAACACAGUAGAUUCGUGAACCACCAGGGUAUAAGCAAUAACUGAGGCCAAUAGAGUCCUUUAUAGCUUUGAAAUUUAAAAUUAUUUCCUCAUAGCUCAUUUUGUUCACAAUUUGUGAGAUUUUUAGGAAGAGGACUAUUAAGAGGUAGAUUGGGGGGUAACAUGCCUUUUUAAAAAAAAGUAUUACUUUUUUAUACCUCUAGAACAGGGGUUUCUAAAAUAAGGGUGUGUAUCCUAUAGAGUUUACCAAAAUGAUUGCUGGAAUAGGGAAGGAAACAUUAGAAGUUCUAUUUAUGGUUAUUUUUCUCCUAUUUUAAUACCAUUUUGGUAUAUAUUUUGUUAUGCACAUCUACAUUUAUAAUUUAUAUAAUUAGAAAUAUAUAGUAUGUUCAAAAACUGAUCAAGAUCUAUGAUUACUUUGGAAGUCACUACUCUAUAAGUAAUUGCUACAAAUGAAGACUUGUGAGAGUUUCUAUAUACAUUUCUCAUUUUUUGGAUGUAAAAAUUAAUGAAUACUCAAUUACUAAAUUUUGCAUAAGACCUAAAAAUAUUUUCAUUUCUAUAGAUUUUCAAGUGUUUGUCUUUUUCUUGUGAAUAUUACAUAACUUUAGCAUUACAUUUUCAAGUGUUUUCUUUCAGCUUAAUGUUGCUUUUAGCAGUAAAUCAAACUCUUAUUAGCAAGACGGAGGAACUGAGUAAAUUUUGAUAACGAGGGAUACUUAGUUUUGUUUCUGGAAUUUCAUGUAAGUAGUAAUUACAAGACUUUCCCCUUUAGCCACCUCGUACAUCUCAUCCUGUAGUGAAGUUUUCCUGUACAGACUGUGAACCAAUGGUUAUUGAUAAACUUCCUUUUGACAAAUAUGAGUUGGAACCUUCACCACUGACUCAAUUUAUCCUGGAAAGGAAAUCUCCUCAAACAUGUUGGCAGGUGUACGUGAGCAAUAGUGCAAAAUACAGUGAACUUGGUCAUCCUUUUGGUUACUUGAAAGCCAGUACAGCACUGAACUGUGUCAACUUAUUUGUGAUGCCUUACAAUUAUCCAGUCCUUCUUCCCCUCUUAGAUGACUUGUUUAAAGUGCAUAAAGCAAAACCAACAUUGAAGUGGAGACAGUCAUUUGAAAGUUAUUUGAAGACAAUGCCUCCCUACUAUCUCGGGCCCUUGAAGAAAGCUGUUAGGAUGAUGGGAGCACCUAACCUAAUAGCAGACAGUAUGGAAUAUGGACUUAGUUACAGUGUCAUUUCAUACCUCAAAAAACUGAGUCAACAGGCCAAAAUAGAAUCUGAUCGAGUCAUUGGAUCUGUAGGCAAAAAAGUAGUACAGGAAACUGGAAUAAAAGUCCGGAGCCGAUCACAUGGUUUAUCAAUGGCAUAUAGGAAAGAUUUUCAACAACUCCUCCAGGGAAUUUCAGAGGAUGUCCCUCACAGACUGCUAGACCUUAAUAUGAAGGAAUACACUGGGUUCCAAGUUGCUUUGCUGAAUAAGGAUUUGAAGCCACAGACAUUUAGAAAUGCUUAUGACAUACCAAGACGAAAUCUUUUGGAUCACUUAACAAGAAUGAGAUCUAAUCUUUUGAAGAGCACUCGCAGAUUUCUGAAAGGACAGGACGAAGAUCAAGUGCACAGUGUUCCUAUAGCACAAAUGGGGAACUACCAGGAAUACCUCAAGCAAGUACCUUCUCCACUAAGAGAACUUGAUCCUGAUCAGCCGCGAAGGUUGCAUACAUUUGGCAACCCCUUUAAGCUGGAUAAGAAGGGUAUGAUGAUAGAUGAAGCAGAUGAAUUUGUGGCUGGACCUCAAAAUAAACAUAAACGACCCGGAGAACCAAAUAUGCAAGGGAUCCCUAAAAGACGUCGGUGUAUGUCUCCACUACUAAGAGGCAGACAGCAGAAUCCUGUUGUAAACAAUCAUAUUGGGGGAAAAGGACCACCUGCACCUACAACUCAAGCACAGCCAGAUCUUAUUAAACCUCUUCCUCUUCAUAAAAUUUCAGAAACCACUAAUGAUUCGAUGAUACAUGAUGUGAUUGAAAAUCAUGUUGCAGACCAACUUUCAUCAGACAUUACACCAAAUGCUAUGGAUACUGAAUUUUCAACAUCUUCUCCAGCCAGUUUACUGGAACGGCCAACCAAUCAUACGGAGGCUCUUGGUCAUGACCAUUUAGGAACCAAUGACCUCACUGUUGGUGGAUUUUUAGAAAAUCAUGAGGAGCCAAGAGAUAAAGAACAAUGUGCUGAAGAGAACAUACCAGCAUCUUCACUCAACAAAGGAAAGAAAUUGAUGCAUUGCAGAAGCCAUGAAGAGGUCAAUACUGAACUAAAAGCACAAAUAAUGAAAGAGAUCCGAAAGCCAGGAAGAAAAUAUGAAAGAAUCUUCACUUUACUGAAGCAUGUGCAAGGCAGUUUACAAACAAGACUAAUAUUUUUACAAAAUGUCAUUAAAGAAGCAUCAAGGUUUAAAAAACGAAUGCUAAUAGAACAACUGGAGAACUUCUUGGAUGAAAUUCAUCGAAGAGCCAAUCAGAUCAACCAUAUUAAUAGCAAUUAAAAGAAAAUAGAAUGUGGCCACUUAUUUCACUGUCUUCUUCAAAUACAAAGUAAAUACAAGACUGUUGUGAUCUUGCAUUCAUUUUCUGACAUGCAUUGUUGGCUAUUUGAAAUACUAAAAGCAAAUCUACAGAUCCUUUUUCCAUCAUUUUACAGUGACCUUUUCUUCAUUUUGGUUUAUUUUUGUAAUGUGAAAAGUAUCACUCUAAAAAACAUUUUUAAUUUAACAAACUAAAAAUAUUCCUCCAAA
rnacentral:sRNA from 1 species